GUGCACCAGUCGAGAAAUCUCUCCAAUGUGUGAAAACAUGAGAGGGGUAUUCCAAGUUCCCUUGUUAUGCAAGGGAUUUUCUUUGGUCCAAGACGCCAAAGGAAUAAGAGCUGGGUAAGACCGGUGCCAGCCGCCGCGGUAACACCGGCAGCUCGAGUGGUGGCCACUAUUAUUGGGCCUAAAAGCGUUCGUAGCCGGGCAGGUAAGUGCUCUGGUAAAAUCCCAUAACUUAAUUAUGGGGCUUCAGAACAUACUGCCUGCCUUGAGACCGGGAGAGGCUGGAGGUACUUUCGGGGUAGGGGUAAAAGUCCUAUAAAUCCCGAAGGGACCACCGGUGGCGAAGGCGUCCAGCCAGAAC
rnacentral:rRNA from 1 species